rnacentral:rRNA from 1 species
CCUACGGGAGGCAGCAGUGAGGAAUAUUGGUCAAUGGGCGGGCGCCUGAACCAGCCAAGCCGCGUGAGGGAAGAAGGUACAGCGUAUCGUAAACCUCUUUUGUCAGGGAACAAAGGCGGUGACUAGUCCCCCGAUGAGGGUACCUUAAGAAAAAGCAUCGGCUAAUUCCGUGCCAGCAGCCGGGGUAAUACGGAGGAUGCGAGCGUUAUCCGGAUUUAUUGGGUUUAUAGGGUGCGCAGGCCGCCUGUUAAGUCAGCGGGAAAAGCCCGGGGUUCAACCCCGCCGAGCCGUUGCAACUGGCGGGCUUGAGUUGGAGAGAAGUACGCGGAAUGCGCGGUGUAGCGGUGAAAUGCUUAGAUAUCGCGCAGAACCCCGAUUGCGAAGGCAGCGUACCGGCUCCACACUGACGCUGAGGCACGAAAGCGUGGGUAUCGAACAGGAUUAGAUACCCCAGUAGUC